GCAUCGAUGAAGAACGCAGUAAUGUGCGAAAAGUAAUGCGAAUUGCAUACCUCUGCGAGUCAUCUAGUCUUUGAACGCAAAUGGCACUAUCACGACGAGUGAUAGUAUGUCUGUUUGAGAACCAAAAAACCCAUCACCAUUAGAUAAUGGUGGAACUGUCCCGCGAUAUUUGGUGGGAUGAAAUGGAUAGUGCAGCGGGAUGACCCCGAAUAUGUGACAAGUUAUCAUCGUAUUUAAGGUCGUUCACUACGCGCACGCCAUGUGUGCAUAGUAUGCUAUCAUGGCACAUGAGUAAUUUAACAUAAUGGUCUCAAAUUGGACAAGGCUACCCGCUGAACUUAAGCAUAUCAAUAAGCGGAGGA
rnacentral:rRNA from 1 species